AUUUAUAUAGUUUAUAUAAAAUUUUAAUUUGUGGAAUUAAAGAAAUUUAUUAAUAAUUAAUAAUUAUUUAUAAAAUAGGGAAAGUAUUUUUUUAUUUAGGCUUUAUAUUUUCUUUUUAUUUAUUUUUUUUAGUUUUAAAAUUAUUUUUUUUAAAAAAAGUAGAAGUUAUUGAGUGA
rnacentral:tRNA from 1 species